GGCCUGUUCGUCUAGCGGUUAGGACUCCAGCCUCUCACGCUGGCAACAUGGGUUCGACUCCCAUACAGGUCA
rnacentral:tRNA from 1 species